rnacentral:rRNA from 1 species
GACGAACGCUGGCGGCGCGCCUAACACAUGCAAGUCGAACGAGCGAGAGAGAGCUUGCUUUCUCGAGCGAGUGGCGAACGGGUGAGUAACGCGUGAGGAACCUGCCUCAAAGAGGGGGACAACAGUUGGAAACGACUGCGAAUACCGCAUAAGCCCACGGCUCGGCAUCGAGCAGGGGGAAAAGGAGCAAUCCGCUUUGAGAUGGCCUCGCGUCCGAUUAGCUAGUUGGUGAGGUAACGGCCCACCAAGGCGACGAUCGGUAGCCGGACUGAGAGGUUGAACGGCCACAUUGGGACUGAGACACGGCCCAGACUCCUACGGGAGGCAGCAGUGGGGAAUAUUGCACAAUGGGGGAAACCCUGAUGCAGCGACGCCGCGUGGAGGAAGAAGGUCUUCGGAUUGUAAACUCCUGUUGUUGGGGAAGAUAAUGACGGUACCCAACAAGGAAGUGACGGCUAACUACGUG